GGAUCUAAUUAAGGAUUUGGUAAGUAGCUAACGCGUGAAGUUGACCGCCUGGGGAGUACGGUCGCAAGAUUAAAACUCAAAGGAAUUGACGGGGACCCGCACAGCGGUGGAUUAUGUGGAUUAAUUCGAUGCAACGCGAAAAACCUUACCUACCCUUGACAUGCCUGGAAUCUAAUGGAGACAUAAGAGUGCCCGUAAGGGAACCGGGACACAGGUGCUGCAUGGCGUCGUCAGCUCGUGUCGUGAGAUGUUGGGUUAAGUCCCGCAACGAGCGCAACCCUUGUCGUUAAUUGCUAUCAUUUUAAUGAGCACUUUAACGAGACUGCCGGUGACAAACCGGAGGAAGGUGGGGAUGACGUCAAGUCCUCAUGGCCCUUAUGGGUAGGGCUUCACACGUAAUACAAUGGCGCGUACAGAGGGUUGCCAAUCCGCGAGGAGGAGCCAAUCUCAGAAAGCGCGUCGUAGUCCGGAUCGGAGUCUGCAACUCGACUCCGUGAAGUCGGAAUCGCUAGUAAUCGCGGAUCAGCAUGCCGCGGUGAAUACGUUCCCGGGUCUUGUACACACCGCCCGU
rnacentral:rRNA from 1 species